UACUACAGCCAUGCCACCCUGAAUGUGCCCGAUCUCAUCUGAUCUCAGAAGGUAAGCAGGGUUGGGCCUGGUUCGUGCUUGGAUGGGAGACCAUCUAGGAACACCAGGUGCUGUAGGUG
rnacentral:rRNA from 1 species